rnacentral:lncRNA from 1 species
AACUACUAUGCUGAAAUGCUUCCUGGAGCCCUGGUCCCAGAGUCUUCACCUCAAGGUCUUUGGGUAGCUGACUUCAUGGUGAUUUUUUUUUUAAUUUUAAGAUGGCGUCUCUUCUGUCGUGCAGGCUGGAGUGCAGUGGCAAGAUCUCAGCUCACUGCAACCUCUGCCUCCUGGGUUCAAGUGAUUCUCCUGCCUCAGCCUGCCAAGUAGCUGGGAUUACAAGUGCAUGCCACCAUGCCCGGCUAAUUUUUGUAUUUUUAGUAGAGACAAAGUUUCACCAUGUUGCCCAGGCUGGUCUUGAACUCCUGACCUUGUGAUCCACCCGCCUCGGCCUCCCAAAGUGCUGGGAUUACAGGCAUGAGCCACCGCGCCCAGCCCAUGGUGAUUUUUUUAAUGACAAAAGUGCUACUGAACCCCCGUUUUAAAAAAAAAACCUUAAGCUGAUGUGAUUUGAAUGGUGGAGUCCCAAGCAAUCUGGAGAACAUGGGGCCUUUUCUGGCACCUCUGAAGGCAUUCCAUGGAAUUGGCUACCUACUCCCCGUAAGCCUGGAUCUAUCCUCACCCAAGCUCAGACUCUAGAAGGGAACCUCCCUGGCAUGGAAGGGGAGCAUAACACACGUGUUGACUAUGAGGAGGCAAGUGUGGUCUACGCAGGCCCAGUUGGACCUGGAUGCUGGAACUCCAGGCCUUGAGGGCAGCAGUGCUGUUACCCCUUCCUGAAUCUAAGCAGUGAGUUCACCAAGCACUUUCACAUCAAUGUUCUCUGUCCUCACAACAUGCCCGUGAGGGGGGUUAUGGGCUCUGCUUUACUGACAAGACAGGUGUGGUGACUGGUCCCAGGAGAAAGUGGCAGGGCUGGGGUCAGAACUCAGGUUUCCUGCCUCCCAGAUCACCCUGCCCAGGACCCUAUCACAGACCAGGGGAUUGAGGCCAGAGAGGUAGAACCAAAGCUGUUUCCAGUGCACAUGUGUUCUUUAUGCUGCUUCUCUACGCAGGGCGAGUCUGUGGGAAGUGACCUUCAAGGUUUUUGGGGGUUUUUUUUGUUUUUUGUUUGAGACAGAGUCUUGCUCUGUCACCCAGGCUGGAGUGCAGUGGCGCAGUCUCGGCUCACUGCAACCUCCACCUCCUGGAUUCAAGUGAUUCGCCUGCCUCAGCCUGCCG